UACGUAGGCAGCAAGCGUUGUUCGGAGUUAUUGGGCGUAAAGGGUGCGUAGGCGGUUUGGUAAGUCUGAUGUGAAAUCUAUGGGCUCAACUCAUAGUCUGCAUCGGAAACUGCCGGGCUUGAGUGUGGGAGAGGUGAGUGGAAUUCCUGGUGUAGCGGUGAAAUGCGUAGAUAUCAGGAGGAACACCUGUGGCGAAAGCGGCUCACUGGACCAUAACUGACGCUGAUGCACGAAAGCUAGGGGAGCAAACAGG
rnacentral:rRNA from 1 species